rnacentral:rRNA from 1 species
GACGAACGCUGGCGGCGUGCUUAACACAUGCAAGUCGAACGGAAAGCACCUUCUAUUGUGGGGUGCUCGAGUGGCGAACGGGUGAGUGACACGUGGGUAACCUGCCCUUGGCUAUGGGAUAACUUCAGGAAACUGGGCAUAAUACCGUAUAGGCUAUCACGCUGUAUGGUGAGGGUUGGACAGUUCAGGGGGUUGGGGGUGGAUUGGCGGCUGAUCGGCUUGGUGGUGGGGUAGGGGUUUACCAAGGCUUUGACUGGUAGCGGGGCUGAGAGGAUGACCGGCAACAUUGGGAUUGAGAUACGGCCCAGACCCCUACGGGAGGCAGCGGUGGGGAAGAGGGCACAACGGGCGGAAGCGUGAUGCAGCAACGCCGCGUGCGGGAUGACGACCUGCGGGUUGGAAACCGCAGUCGCCUGUGACGGAGCGUGAGUGACGGUAAUGGGUAAAGAAGCACCGGCUAACUACGUG